rnacentral:lncRNA from 1 species
UCAAAAUGAAAAUGGAAAAGCUCCGAGACUUUCGAUUUGUUGAGUCCGAGAUCUAGCUACCCUAAAUACCUGAGAAGGAGAAACUAGGAGAGUGAGCUACACAAGCUCAGUGUGAGUCCAAAACAAAAGUUAAUGGCAAAUGACGAACUAAUCAAAUAUACUUAAAAGUAUUUACUGACAACAUACGGAAAUCUCGAACCUAUAGUCAGAUAUAUGAAAAUUUUCAAUUAACAUUGUAAUAGGCCCAAUUUGCCCGGCCCGUUAGUAAAAUAAACCAAAUGAAAAAAUAAAAAUUAAAUAGUCCAGCAAACAGUCCAAAUUACAAAAAAUUCACCAGACCCAAAAUUUAACCCACACCCAAUCUAAAUUCCCAAAACAGUGGCCCAAUGCCCAAAACAAUUUUUGCAAACCCUAGAGACCAAAACCCUAAGCCUUCAGCCGCCGUCGCCCUCACGUGCCCCACGAGCCACGCCUCUGAGCCGCUCCACGUCGCACGCCUCCGUACAGCCUUCACACACCGUCAUGCACUGCGCGUAUGACUGUACCUGCACACAAGCAAACAAGAAAAGACGAAUAGAAAACAACAACAAACAAAAAAGGAGUGAAAGAUAUUUCUUUUGUAAUUUUUUUUCAUUUUUCUGGCGAUAUAAAAGCCAAAUACGCAUUGUAAACGGGAUAUUCACGAAAUCAAUACGAAAAAGCAGUAAAAAACUUUAGUUUUUUUCUAAAAGAAAGGUGAUUCUCCGAUUCUUUUCUUUCUUGGAUUUGCCUCUUUUUUUAAAGAGUGAGAAUAAAAAAAUAAAAGAAAAAGAGGUAGGAAGUUCUUACCUUUGUGAAAGAACCGUCGAAGCCUUGUUUACUCCGUCCAAAUCGGAGUUAGAUCGAGUUUGGGUUUGACACGGCAGAAGGGAGGAAAGGGGGUCUUAGUUUUUUUUUUCUGAUAGUUUAAAAGAGGUGGUCAAAUAAUGGGGAUUUUAGGAUUUUGAUUUAGUUUAUAUGAGGUUCAAGAAAUGACACUGUUCAGGGCCAGCUUCAAUGGCUCCAAAACGGUGCCGCAUUGGCCUAUACCCGAUGACCGACCCAGAGGUGGCUGUGACCAGCACGUUUUGGGUCUGAUGGGGUAUUUGCGCAAUUGGCCCCUCGGAUUUCCUUUAUUAUUUCAAUUUCGUUUUUUUCCUUUUUUAAAAUUAGGCCCUGUAGUUUGUUUGAAUUUCAUUUUAACCCCUUAUGACGCUGCGUUUUGGGGAAGCGGGAUAUUUCCCAAUCGGUCCCCCAAGUAAAUUGCGCAUUACAUUUGACCCCUUUGCUUUACUCUAUUUUCAUUUUUUUCUUUCAAUUUUGUUUUUUAAUUUAAUUUAAUAUUUUGUUACUUGUUUUUUUUUGUUUUUUUUAAUAAGUUUAUUAAUUAAUUUACUAUUAUUAUCAUUGUUAUUAUCACUAACGUUAUUAUUAUACUAGUUUAUAUAUUUAUCUACAUAUUUUUUUAUGUAUAUACAUUAUUUUAUUAUAUAAUUUUAUUUUAAGUUUUAACAUUUAUAUACGAUACUAUUUUAUACAUAUGUACAAUUUAUAUUAAACCAAAUUUUUUAUUAUAUGUAUGUAUAUAAUAUAUUGUUGAAUAGACGAACCUAUUUCAAAGAAAUAAACCGCCACACUCAGUGAGUUAGAGUGCAACAGUUCAAUCUUCAAAGCUAGAUUCGUCCCUUUUUUAAAAAUAAAAAAAAAUCAUGUGUUUUAAGAAGGAUAUUUGAUUACUUAAGUCAAUCGAGAAAUCAGAAUCCAGUAAGUUAGGGUUCCAUCUCUCGAAAUUCCUAAACAUCAAAUAUGGCCUUUAUUUUAAAAUCGAGAUGACAAAAUGUCAUAUCCAGUAAGUUAGGAUCCAACAUUUUGAAAUCUUAAUUAAUUUUAUUUAGAAAUCAUAUGGUUUUUAUUACAAAAGAGAUACUCAACUACCUAAAUUCAUCAGAAAAAUUGAAGCCCAGUAAGUUAGGGCCCAAUUCUCUCGCGAAUUAUGAAAGUUGAGUAUUAUAA